AUGUUUACCAGUGAUACAAAUGUCUUAUCUGAAGAUACUGCAACAAUGGAAAUGGAUACUACACAACCAGAGCAAGUGUGGCACUUGUCCGUUCAUGCAGUGGCAGGCACAGAGGCACCAAGUUGCCUUCAAAUUCAUGGCUGGCUGCAAGGACAAGAGGUGUUGAUGCUGGUGGAUUCAGGAAUCUCAGCUUCAUUUGUCUCUCAGCACAUGCCAAGAACUAUCAAAGUUUCUGUUUCCAAUGGGGCAGAAUUGCAGUGUACUCAGGAGGUGCUCAACUGUCAGUGGUACACGCAAGGGCAAACAUUCUCCACCAAUUUCAAGGUUUUACCUCUGGGAUCUUAUGAUGUGAUCUUAGGCAUGGACUGGCUUGAGUACCACAGUCCUAUGUUGAUUGAUUGGCCACGUAGGUGCAUGCAAAUUGAAAAUUGUGGCUACACCAUACUGUUGCAAGGAGUGGCUGCUAAGAAUCAGUCUUGUGCUCUACUGUCCUGCACACAACUCGGCAGUAUAAACAAAAAUGCAGCAGUGGCAUAUGUAGUUCAGUUAUGCUAUUCUGAAGGGGCUGAAUCAGAGGUAACAGUGCAAGCACAGGAACUAUCACCUGACAUAGUGCAGUUACUACUGGAAUUUGAGGACAUUUUCUUGGAACCAACAGAGUUACCUCCGUCGAGAGACUGCAAUCAUAAAAUUCCCUUAAUGCAAGGAUCACAACCAGUUAACAUGCGGCAGUACAGGCACAAACCAGAACUCAAAACAGAAAUUGAACGCCAAGUGUUGGAGCUGCUCAAAGUUGGUAUUAUUCAGAAGAGCACAAGCCCAUUUUCUUCUCCUAUCAUCUUGGUGAAGAAGAAAGAUGGGACAUGGCGUCUGUGCAUAGACUAUCGUCGACUCAACGCAAUGACUAUCGUGAGCCGAUAUCCAGUGCCAAUCAUUGAGGGCAUCUUGGAUGAAUUAGCCGGUGCCCGUUGGUUCUCUAAGCUCGACCUCCGAGCAGGGUAUCAGUAG
rnacentral:rRNA from 1 species